rnacentral:tRNA from 1 species
GGAUCCGUAGCUCAGUUUGGAUAGAGCGUUUCCCUCCUAAGGAAAAGGUCGCAGGUUCAAAUCCUGUCGGAUCCG